UGGCGCUGGGGCGCGAGGCGG
rnacentral:miRNA from 1 species